rnacentral:rRNA from 1 species
GACGAACGCUGGCGGCGUGCUUAACACAUGCAAGUCGAGCGGUAAGGCCCUUUCGGGGGUACACGAGCGGCGAACGGGUGAGUAACACGUGGGUGACCUGCCUUUAGCUCUGGGAUAAGCCUGGGAAACCGGGUCUAAUACCGGAUAUGACUCCGCGGCGCAUGUUGUGGGGUGGAAAGCCUUGUGCGGCUGGAGAUGGGCCCGCGGCCUAUCAGCUUGUUGGUGGGGUGAUGGCCUACCAAGGCGACGACGGGUAGCCGGCCUGAGAGGGCGACCGGCCACACUGGGACUGAGACACGGCCCAGACUCCUACGGGAGGCAGCAGUGGGGAAUCUUGCGCAAUGGGCGAAAGCCUGACGCAGCGACGCCGCGUGAGGAUGAC